GGGGAAGCAUUUUCAUCGUGGAUGCAUAUCGUGUAUGGCAUUAGAAAAGGAGGGACUUGCGCGCCCGCCUCCGCCGCCGCCACCGGCCCCUUACCACCGCCCCCACGCGCCGCAGGUUCGUAGGCGCUUUCUCGUAGGGCAGUAAACAUUCGGGGUUGUCUGGUUGUAUGUAUAUGCUUGGUUAACUGAUCGAGGUGGCGUGCGUGCGUGGCUGUUUGCAGGUCUCGGCACCGGGAGGGACGGCUCCGGUGGUGUACGGCGGCGGGAGCAAUGGUGGUGGCGUGCCGUCGCCGUGGCAGGUGAGCGGACGCGACCUCUGUCGCUGCUCCUCCCUUCUUUCAAUCCCUACCUUUUUUUGUUUUUUUCCCCUUGUUGGCUUGUGAGUUCGAUCUGUGCACCCUUUUUUGACGCAGAUUGCUUCCUGCAGUGCAAGCAGGCGAUGGCCACCGAGGUCACGUUCGUGCUGCCGUCCGCCGCGCCCAAGGCCGUGUCGUCAUCGCCUGGUGGCGCCGCCGGCGACGAGACCGGAGG
rnacentral:lncRNA from 1 species